CCAGCACCCCAGAAGUGGAAUCAACAGCAGAAACCUCAACCUCAACCUCACCAAGCAAACAAAUACUUUUCGGUAUUCAUGGUACUGACGAUGAGUACGAUGAUGAUGAUGAUGAAAAAGAUAAUAGCCUCCUUUCUUAUAGUAAAGAAGAAGCAGCCGUGGAUGAUGACACAGUAAUUGCUGUAGAAGGCGGAAUUGAUAACUAUAUUCAAGUUAUUAAACUUGAAAUUGAGAAUUCAUCGGAUGAGGCAUUAGUUGAUGUGGGUGGUGAAAUAGAUAAAGCCAUUUAUA